CUCGGAGUUUGAUCCUGGCUCAGGAUGAACGCUAGCGGCAGGCUUAACACAUGCAAGUCGAGGGGUAUCACGCUUUCGGGCGUGAGAGACCGGCGCACGGGUGCGUAACGCGUAUGCAAUCUACCUUUUACAGAGGGAUAGCCCAGAGAAAUUUGGAUUAAUACCUCAUAGUAUGUGAGAAUCGCAUGGUUUUCACAUUAAAGUUCCAACGGUAAAAGAUGAGCAUGCGUCCCAUUAGCUAGAUGGUAAGGUAACGGCUUACCAUGGCGACGAUGGGUAGGGGUCCUGAGAGGGAGAUCCCCC
rnacentral:rRNA from 1 species